GACAGAGGGUGCUAGCGUUGUUCGGAAUUACUGGGCGUAAAGGGCGCGUAGGCGGUCCGCUAAGUUCGGUGUGAAAUCCCCUGCUCAACUGGGGAACUGCGCCGGAAACUGACGGACUCGAGUACCGGAGAGGAGGGUGGAAUUCCUGGUGUAGCGGUGAAAUGCGCAGAUAUCGGGAGGAACACCGGUGGCGAAGGCGGUUCUCUGGGCCUUACCUGACGCUGAGGAGCGAAAGCGUGGGGAGCGAACAGG
rnacentral:rRNA from 1 species